rnacentral:lncRNA from 1 species
GCAGUAUGUUAUGACGGAUGAUGCAGUUCUCAUGAAGGUGGGUGCAGUCUCUCUGCAUUGCUUGCAGUGACCCCUGCAUUGUCCGGGAGUGUGGAUGCAGUGCCCAGUAUUGGAUGCAGUGUCCCACAAGGUGCAUGCAGUAGAUUGUGACAGAGGAUGCAGUGCCCAUGAGGGUGGAUUCAGUGAUCCGGCAGUGGUUGCAGUGCACCCUGCUGUGUCCCUGAAUGUGCAUGCUCUGAAAAUGCAGUGGAUGCAGUGAUCCUGCAGUGAUUGCAGUGCGCCUGCAUUUCCACAUCAGCUGGAAGCAGUGUCCCUGCAGUGGUUGAAGGGCCCCCAGCAUUGUGCUGGAAUGUGGAUGCAGGGGUCAUGUAGUGGAUGCAGUGUCUCACAAGGUAGAUGCAGUAUGUUUAGUCAGAGGAUGCAGUGCCCAUGAAGGUGGAUGUGGUGAACAUGCAGUGGUUGCAGUGCUCCCUACAGUUUCCCUGAAUGUGGAUGCAGUGCCCAUGCAGUGCAUGCAGUGUCCCACAAGGUGGAUGCGGUAUGCUGUGAUGGAGGAUGCAGUGCCCACGAAGGUGGAUGCAGUGAGCCUGAAGUGAUUGCAGUGCACUUGCAGUGCCUCUGCAGCAGGAUGCAGUGUAGCUGCUGUGGUUGCAGAGCCCCCUGACAUUUCCCU